AUGCACGCUGCUUCACCCCCCUCCUGCUUUACCCCCGCGGGCCGCCAUUCGCUGAGCGCCCAGCCCGCCUCCCCGGCCUCUCACUGCCGGCCCUGCGCAUGUGUUGUAGGAGGGGGAGCGUUACCUAUACAAAUAACACAUUUUAAGAAGUCAAGCCUCAAGGAACUGUUAGGUGGAAAUAUGUUGUCUCUCAUAUAUCAAUACAGUUGGUUCUGUAAUGGCUAGAACCUAGAGGUCAUAACACAGACACAUUGGAAUGCUAGAUCCCAUUGAAGAAGCCAAGGCUGAGUUUGAGUGCUGAAAAACAGUAAGUAGAAGAAAUGAAAAGGAAUGACUCAAAACCCUGUUUAAGCAAGGGGCAUUGGAAAAGAGGACCAACAGAGGUCCCUUCUGAUCUCAACCAUUCUGUACAUCUGUGAGAACUACUUUCUUUAUAAAAAGAAACACUUUAAAGGCUGUUUUGCUUUUGCACUGUCUAACUCAUACCCAUAUGAACUCUAAAUACUUACGAAGCUAUCAAAUAAAUAGAUAUUUAAGUUUCGUGCUGUUAUCUUU
rnacentral:lncRNA from 1 species